AGUGAACGCUGGCGGUAGGCCUAACACAUGCAAGUCGAACGGCAGCACAGUAAGAGCUUGCUCUUACGGGUGGCGAGUGGCGGACGGGUGAGGAAUACAUCGGAAUCUACUUUUUCGUGGGGGAUAACGUAGGGAAACUUACGCUAAUACCGCAUACGACCUACGGGUGAAAGCAGGGGAUCUUCGGACCUUGCGCGAUUGAAUGAGCCGAUGUCGGAUUAGCUAGUUGGCGGGGUAAAGGCCCACCAAGGCGACGAUCCGUAGCUGGUCUGAGAGGAUGAUCAGCCACACUGGAACUGAGACACCGUCCAGACUCCUACGGGAGGCAGCAGUGGGGAAUCUUGGACAAUGGGCGCAAGCCUGAUCCAGCCAUACCGCGUGGGUGAAGAAGGCCUUCGGGUUGUAAAGCCCUUUUGUUGGGAAAGAAAAGCAGCAGGUUAAUACCCCGCUGUUCUGACGGUACCCAAAGAAUAAGCACCGGCUAACUUCGUG
rnacentral:rRNA from 1 species